rnacentral:rRNA from 1 species
UACGUAGGGACCGAGCGUUGUCCGGAAUCAUUGGGCGUAAAGAGCGUGUAGGCGGCCAAUUAAGUCCUGCGUGAAAUCUCGGGGCUCAACCCCGAGCGGUCGUGGGAAACUGGUUGGCUAGAGUGCGGGAGAGGAGAGUGGAAUUCCUGGUGUAGCGGUGAAAUUCGUAGAUAUUAGGAAGAACACCAGUGGCGAAGGCGGCUCACUGGUCCGGUACUGACGCUGAGGUGCGAAAGCGUGGGGAGCAAACAGG